ACCCGUGCGAAAUCGCAAACAUGGCCGACUUCAUUGUUUUGAUACUGGCAAAGCGUUAAUUGUUUUGCUCGACGAUAUAUUACAAUAUACAUCUUUCGAUUCUAUUCGGCGUUUACGCGACUUACCGGCUUUUCCGACCAGUUGUCGUCGCCGUCCGCUAAUUUCCGGGAUAGUGAGUAAUUUUUAUUAUUUUUUUUUUGAACUAUUCUGUUACUCGCGGUCGUUGCCGCCGCGAAAUAUCCGGAUAAUGUAAACACCGGCAGUAGCUUCAACGGCAUCUUCGUCAAUCGAACCCUCAGUCGGUAAGUGUACCUUUCUCCUUAUCAUUAUUUUAUUUUAUUAACGUUAGCUAUAUUUUUGCGAUUUUUUCAUCUUGAUUGAAUUUUUUUUCCGACCUUCGCAUAGAGCCGUCCUCAAAGUAUUCUAGGUCUUAAGAAGUAAGUUAUGUAACGUUCAGCAACCCGACUAAUCGCACUGAUUAAGGUUUUUUUAAAAAAAUCUAGUUUCUCUGCUUAAGCACUUUAAAUAUUAAAUAUUCCGAUUUAACUAUCGUAUGUGACUUGCAUGCCAGUCAAACGCUGUAUUUAUAAUAAUUCUUACAAUAAAAAUGUUUUUUAGGCAAUAAUUUAUCAAUAACUUAAAUUAAUUUUGUAUGAUUUAAACUCGUCAAAGAAUAUAUCUGGGUAACUAUUUUUCUGACUGAUUAUUCUAUUCAAAAUAAAGUACUUUAACUACUCUCCAUUACAUAGUAAUACAAUACUCUUUGCAAUACCUAUGCUUUUUAAUAUUUUAAAGCAUAGGUAAGUAUUCAAUAAUAUUUCUUUUGUAUGUUUUAUCAAUUAGUUAAAUGUAAUAAUACCUACACAAAUAAACAAUUUUGUCAAGUAUUUGUCAAAUAAUUUACAAAAUAUAUUAAACAUAACUAUUGGUACCUUGUUUCAACAUAACCUUUUAUAUUAUUAAUAUUCUGAACAAAAUAAUUUCAUUUCUCAAUACCCAUCUAAAUAGAUAAAAUACCUUGAUACUUAGUGCAUUUAAACCAUUUAAAAAAUUGUAUGUAUUUUUAUAGAAGUAUACUACUCCAUUUUUAUGUCUUUUGAAAUUUAUAUUUCAUUUAUGUUAAAUUUUUCGCAAAGUAAAUUAAAUUUGAUCAAAAAAAUUAAACAUUUGUAUCUUCUGUGAUAAUAAAAAGACACUAAUGUAGUUAAUGACAUCUGUACUAUUUUUAACUUGGCUCAAACUCUAAUGCAAAUUCUUUUGCCAUAGCUUUUAAUUUAUCAAAUUCAAAUUGUUAAUCAUUAAUUAUGUUGUAAUAAUUGUUCUACAUAAUAUUUAUUAAGUAUAAAAUUAGCUACCUACCUUUUUUGAAAUGAACCUGUCAAACACGUGCUUCGUGUUUACUAAACAAAUCUGUGCCUAAUAUAGGCUGGUAAUAAAUACAUUAUUCUAAAAUAUGCCAAACUAGGCUUUAUUAAUUUAUACAUUUUUAAUGAAAAAAAGAAUACUUAUCUUCACCAAGGUACCUAUUAAAUUUGUAACAUUUAUUGUUUAUUUUUUUUUUAUAAAUACAGAAAAUGGAUAAUCAAGGCCAUCAUCCGGCCGCAGUAAAAAAACGUUCCAUUGAUGACAUCAUAAAUAACAUAACAUCAGAUCUUCAAAGUUAUGAAGGUCGGUAUAUGGUAUUAGGGAAUCCGAGACAAUCGACAGACAUUAUGUGGCAACAAGUCAAUAACUAUGCAAAUCCACAACCACAAACCAAUAUGUAUAAUCCAGAAUCAAUGAAUUUGACCAAUAACAAUCCUUAUAUUUUAAACCCUAAUCAAUAUUCUCCAUAUAUGCAAACUCAGAAUCAAAUGCCAGGGUAUGUCAACUACGACCAUCAAGUGUAUUCUCAUCAUCCUCAUCCCCAUCAUCAACAGCAGCAGCAGCAACAACAUCAACAAACAUCUCAGCAACAACAACAACAACAACAACAAAUUAACUAUACGUAUUACCAACAAUCGCAAUAUAAUUCUCAUCCCAUGCAAUACCAGAGUGCUACAUACGGUCUUUUUGAUCCGCCUUGUAAUGAUGCUCUCAUUGAAAAUCUUGUUCAAAGUUGGAGUCAAACUCAAAAUAAUGGUGGUGUGUUCAGUCCAUUUGGAGAUCAGGCGUUUCAAACUUCGAGAGAAAUGAUUCCUGAACGAGAUAUUAACAUUCACAAUCAUAACACGAUGACCAAUCACACGAAUAUUGCUACACCUGUUAAAAAAGUUAGAAUGGUAGCGGAAGUACGUCCGAUGCGACCCAGUUAUUCUGAUGUUUUGGCUAAAUCACCAGCUGUUGGUGCCGUGAAAAAAACUGCAGCUAGUACUCAAGUCGAAACAUUAUUAGAUUUAAAAACAACCUCUAAAGUAAAAACAUCUAUCAAAAAAAAGAAAAACUCUGCAAAGUUGGGUAAAGGAGAAUCUGGUUUGAAAAGACAAAAUUCUUCUGCAAGCAGUGAAGAGCGUAAUACUCCCACAGUAGAAUUUAAAGAAGAUGAAAAAAAGUUUGAAGCUACAUUUAAUAAUAAUAAUAGUAAUAAUGAAAAAGUUUGGACAUCGUCAGAAGACUUGAACGGAUCAGAAUAUUACGAAGCUGAUGAAAACGCUUUUAGUAAUAUUUUGGCACCAAAGUCUAAAGAAAACAAUAAGAAAGAUAAAGCAAAAACUAAAUCUAAGACUGUUCCAUUGUUAAAAACCUCAGGUAAAAUUACAGUUUGUUUUUUAAUUUUCUUUUAAUGAAUCUGAUAAAAUUGAUUUUUUUUAUUUUUAUUAUUUAAGGUUAUACUUUAAAGUCUCAUAAGGACGAUGCUGAAAAACACAAGACUAAAAAAAAUAUUCAAUCGAGUUGUGCUAUUGGUGCUGUUAAAAAAGAGAAGUUAAAUAAUGACCAUAAAAAGCAUAAUGAAUCAAAUAGUAUGUUAUUAUUUAAAUUUAAAUGAAAUUGUAUUUUGAAGUACAAAAUUAUUUGCAUCUAGAUAUUAGUACAACAAAGUUGUCUGAUGAAGUUGAAAAACCUUCUGUCAAAAUGUCUUCAAAUGUACCCCAGUCACAACAGGCUGCACCUACUAGUAAAAAUCAGGGUUCACGUAGUACUGCUACGUUCACAGCAUUACCAUUCAAAGCAAGAUAUCAACGAGUGACAAAAAAACGACCACGUAGCUCUGCUUUAAACACAAUGUGUAUGUGUUAAAUUUUAAACUGUGUUUAUUUAAGAAACAUAAAUCUGUGAAUUUAAAAUAAACUGUUGUUAUUUUCAGUAACAAAACAUUUUAACUUUUUGAAAGCUCAGUUUAUUCAAUAUGCUCCAAUAAUGGUUUUUUGGUUUGUUCAUCUUUUAUGGGACGUCAUCACCAUGAGCUUUCAUUUGUUGUUACACUUGUAAGUUUAUUUUUAUAAUUUUUAAAAAUAGUUACUAUUUCAUUUAUAAACCAUAUUUAUAUUAUAUAGAUCAGCAUCUGGUAUGGCACAACUGGCUGAUUUCGGUAAAAAUUGUUGGACAGAUUUUUUGGGUGGACUGAGGUCUCCAUUUGCUCGUGCAUCGCACUGGGCUCGUGUUAGGUGGAAAGAGCAACAUUCAGGUAGCACUCUUCAAACAAAUAUUCCACUGCCAACUACUGGCGAAGAAGCUCUUAAAAGGCUACUUGCUUGCAAAGGGAAAGAUCCAUACAGGUAAUUUUGUCUGAAUAAUCUGAAAGUAGAUUAUCUCAUAUUCAUUAAUUUGUUGCCUGUGCAUUUAUUGUAUAAAAUCGAUCAUUUGUUCAUCUGUUAUUCAAAAGUAAGGUCAUAAUCAAUCAUUAUUUCAAUAUUUCAGUACAUGCAUUUUUAUAAGUAUUUACAAAGAUACUAAAAUAAUGAUUUUUAAAUACAUAUUUAAAAUAUUGUUUUAGUCAUGCAUAUGGAGUAAUUAACAAUAUUAUCACAAUAUAUUUUAAUUCGGAAAUGAUCACAUUGUUGUAGUACUCUUAUGAUGUCUAUUAUAAUUAGUAUUGUCAGCCAACCAACAUGUUUAUUGCAAAUAAAACAUUAAUAUUACAAAACUUAACUAGUGCAAUGUAAUUUUUAGUAUUUUGGGUGUAACUGUUGAUUCGUCUGAAGAUGAUAUCAAAAAGUAUUAUAAGAGGCAAGCCGUACUUGUUCAUCCGGACAAAAACAAUCAGUCGGGGGCUGAAGAAGCUUUUAAAAUAUUAAUUCAUGCUUUCAACAUGAUUGGCGAUCCAGUGGGUUUUUCUAUUUUAAUAUUAUCGAAAAAACAAUUUAAAUGUACACAUUUUAUUUUAUUAAUUCAUUAAUAUUUAUAAUAAUCUAUGGUUUUAGGAAAAACGUAAACUUUACGAUAGUGGCAUAGAACACAUUAAAGAAAAUUAUGAUGAACUUAACAAGUUGUUGAAAAAUCUACAUGAAAAAAUGGCACAAGUUGCAAAUACAAUCAGGUACAAUAAUCGUAAUUGAAAAAUAUUUUGAGUAGUAGGUAUCAGGUUGACUUGUAAUAUUGUAAGAAUACAUUGUUUUACAAAAUGUAUUAUGCAUUUACCUAAUAAUUUAGGUAAUCUUAUUAAGUACAACUAAAUUUUAUAUUGUAUAAUUUCACACUUGAUUAACACAAAAUAUAACACUUAAAAGAGUCAGAAAACAUUUGCCAUCUUUGCCUAUCAAACAGACAAUAUAGUAAAACUUGGUUUUUGCACUUCUAGUGAUACCUAAAAGCUAUCCUAAUAGUUAUAAAACAAAAAUAAUUACAUCAAAUUAAAGACUAAAACUUCCUUUUUUAUUUAUUAUACAAUUUUCUAUUGAGAUAAAAAAAAAGUUUGAAAUACAAAUAUAUUAUCAAGAAAAUAGAUAUCAAAAACCAUAGUAAAUGUUUUUGUCUUUAAUUUAGUAUAAUAAUUUUUAUUUUAAGUCCUGGGUACUAUUGAAAGUAGGAAAACACAUUUUUCUUAUAUAUUACUCAUUAGAUAGAGAUGGCAAAUGUUACUCUGUAACCCCCUCCUAAAAUGUAUACAUUUUUUUAGAACUAAUUGUUUUAGCAGUAAAUUAAUUGAUGAAAUGCAUUUUUUCCAGGUGUACUAGUUGUAAUAAACGACAUAGAAGAAAAUUGGUACCGUUUCGUCCAAUGUAUGCCGCACGUUUCUGUGCGCUAUGUAAUGUACAUCAUUCUGCUCGUGACGGUGAUAUUUGGUCAGAAAGCAGUAUGUUUGGUUUACGCUGGAAAUACUUUGGUUGUAUGGAUGGUGGAGUAUACGACAUCACAGAAUGGGCUACGUGUCAACACGGCAGUUUAAAACACAUGCGGGCCGACACUCACUCUGUGCAAUAUAGAAUAAUAUUUGGAAGCAAGCAACAAACUCCCGAACCAACUGUUUCCCCAUCACCACCCACGCAGUCCAGAACACAAGCACCUCCUUCAACACCCCUAUUCGAGUAUGUAUUCAAACACAUAAUUUAUAUCAAAAUAUGCUCAUUUAAGUAUGGAUUAUUUGAUUUUAUGCUUUAUACCUUGUGUAUUUUUUAAUUUGAUCUGCAAAAUGUAAUUUUACAUCAGUGGUGGUUUUGGUACAUAUUUUGCAUGAAGCCAUAAAAUAUUAAAUAUAACUAUAUAGCAAGUAAUAACAGAUAUACUUACAGUCAACCUAAUUCAUGUUUUUCAUAACUACUAAAGAGUGAUUUUCAGAUAAUUAUAGAUUUUAGUUUUAAAAAAAAAAAAUGUUAAUAAUCUAAUAAAAAUUUUUUGUAGGCGAUGAUUUUUUUUUAAAUAAUAUUAUCAAACAUUGUUAGAUUUUUUACUAUACCAAACGCUAGAAUGUUUGUUGCAUAACUUAUGUAUGUAUUUACUAAGUUACUUAUUUAAAUAUUAAUUAACCUAACCAAAAAUAUUUUAUUUUUAAAUAUUUUAAACUGAAACAAAAAACAAAAAAUGGAUAGUUUUGACUCCAAGAAACUUGACUAAGGAUUUUUUUAUAAUAAAUUGUCUUUAUUCUAAAUUCUCUUAAAUCUAGUUUUAUUGAAGUUAAAAAAUUAAAUUAUUAAAAAGAAAAUCGACAAAUCAUUAUAAGACCGCUAUUUUUUAGUUUUAAUUUAGUUUAAUAUUCAAAUAUAUUUAACAAAAUACAGGGAAAAUAAUCCAAAAUAAAUGUUUUGAUAAAAUAAUAACUUUUCAAUCUUUAUUAUAAUUUAUUCAUCACUGAAAUGGUGUUUCUAACAACUGAAAAACAUGGUCACUUAACGACUUAACGGAUUGGAAUUCAUAGUUAUUAUACAUUUAUACUAAAAAAAAGAACAAAAAUACCUAUCAACUUUUAAAAUAAUUAUAUAAAUUAAUAAACUAUAGGUCUCUACGUACAAUCAAAGAACCGAGUAACGAUAAUUAGUUGAGUAAUAAAAAAAAAAAAUGCAGAGAUAUGAUUUUAAGAACGAUAUUUGUAUACUUAAAAGUUUAUGACCACGAUAGAUACUGUAUCCGGCAUCUUAGAGGCGAUUGGUGUGGACAUCACUGGUGCCUCUUGGAACGCUCUGCACAUGUACAUUAUUUUACGCGUUUUCGCAUGUCUCUCCUCUAUUGAACCAUUACCAGUGGUGAAAUAUUGAAAUGAAACGUAUAGGUAAUACGAGUAGGUUACCUACGUUAAUAGGUAUUCUUACUAUAUAUUGGAGUUUAUCAAACAAAACGUAUCUCGUGUAACUUGCAUGAAAAAAAAUUGAAUGUUUAAUUUUUUUUUUUUUGAAACCUAAAUUAAAUACUUGAAAGUAUUCAAAUUUUAAAUUAUACACAAAAUAAAAAUAAUAAUUUUAAGAAAAUGACUGGUGAGGUAAUGCUUCAUUGCCAAAACCGCCACUGUUUUACAUUAUUGUAUAAAAAACAAAAUAUGUAUAGUAACUUCUUUUUUUGAAAAUAAUAAUAAGCACAAUUUAGAGAAAUCUCUAUCCGGUAGAAUUUGUCAAAUUCCCCUAUCAAAUAAGUAUAACAAAAUCAAAAAAUCAAUAUUCCUUUAUGAUAGUUAUAAUUAGGACUCGGAACUAUACACAACAAAAAAUCAAUAUAGUAUGUGCAUAUAUAUGCACUAAAAAAAGCUUAAAUGUGCAGUGUAAUAUGCAAUUAUAGUUUUUUCAUAAAAUAUGAAUUUUUAUAGGAUUAAACUUCAAAAAUACAUUAAUAUCAAGAAUGAAAAAAUAUUUACUGAUUCAUGAAUAAAUCUUCAAAAACAAACAAAAAAGAGCUAAUAUUGUCGACAGGUCCCAGUCACUCUUGUAGUUGGAUAGAUGGGAUACAUAGUUAUUUAAUUUAUACCUAUAUCCAAUGAUAAACCAUUUUAAAAGGUCAUAAUAUUUACAAUUUGAAUUACAUUAAAAAAAAAAAUUAAGAUAGUAAAAUAAUUAUUUUUAUGCCUUUUUUUUCUAUGUAGUUUUUAAUUUUACUCAAUUAUUAAUAAAACUACAAAGAAAAUCAAAAAACAACAAAUCUUGAUCACUAACUAGGUUAAAUAUUCAACAAAAAGUCUCUUAAUUUUUUGAUUGAAGCAAUAUUACUGGUAAAAAACAUUAGUUGCAAAAAUUGAAAUAAUUAAUAAUGAUAUCGAGUCUAAUGGCCCAACUCACCAUUGAGGAUAACCUCUAUUGUUGAAAUUGGAAUUCUAAUAAUAAAGAUGAUAUGAACAUAGAUAUAAAAGUCAAAAUAAAAUAUAAAGAUAUGAAAAUAAUUUUAGAUAAAAUGGUAUUAUAAAUUAAGAAAGAAACAAAACAAUUUAACUAGGAUAACAUCUUAAACAUUUUUAAAUGUUAAGGAUGUGGUUUAGCCAUAAUUUAACACACUUCUUAUAUUGUGUGUAUGAUUUACAAUUUAUGAUAUGAGAUGGGGGUUUGUUUAAUAGUUUAAUACCUAUCUAUGAAAAACAUAGACUUGAUUUGAGGGUUUGAAUAAUAGGUAUCUCUAAAUUAUUUUCUUGUCGUGUAUUAUAGUAUACUGGUUUUAAUUAAAUUAAAUUAAAUUUAUGUGUGAAAUAAAGUGCAUUUUUUGAAAUAAUUUUUGUAUAAAGAAAACAUUAAAUUCCUCGAAUAAUUGUAUAGAAAUAUGUGUUGUAAGUUUGUUUAAUAUUAAUUUUAUUAUGCUUUUUUGAGCUCUCAGUAUCUUGUUGAUUGCAACAGUACCUAAGUUACCCCAUGCCAUACUUAUGCUUAUACCAUAUUUGAGAAUUGACUAGGCUAUAGCAAAAUAGAUCAUGCGUAGUGUUUGUAUGUUCAGUGUUUUUCUUACAUUGAUAUAAAGGUAGUGUAGUUUUUAUAAUUUAAUGGUUAUAGUAUGCAUGUGUAAGUCCCAUUUUAAGUGCUGAUCUGUAUGAUGUAAGUAAUGAUGAGAAUUAUUCCUAGAUAUUUUGUAUAUUCUUUUUAAUUAUAAUAUUGCAUGAACAAUUAUUUAUUUUACAAUUUAAGUUGUGAAUUUUGAUUUCAUUAAAAGUUGGUUGAAUUUGUUAUCUUACGUAUAAGCUAUAAAGUUUGAUUUAAUAUAAUUUAUUCGAAGAUUAUGUUUUAAAAGUCAUGUAUUUAUUAAGCGCAUAUCUGUUUUGGCCUUAUGAUAGACUUCUUCCCAAUUGGUACCAGUUAUAAGGAUUGCCGUAUCGCCUGCAUAAGAAAAAAGUUUUCGAUAUAGGUUUAGGUUUGCUGAAGAAGCUACGUAUAUUAAAUAUAGAAUGGGUGAUAAAAUUGUUCCUAGGGGAAUUCCACUGGUAUUGAUAAUUACAUCACUUGGUGUGUUUGAUAUUCUCAAUUGUUGUUUCCUAUUAAUUAAAUAUUAAUCUAGGAGAAGAAUUGGGUUAUUAAUCAAUGAAUAUUAAACAAUUUUAUUUUUUUUGGUUUUUUCCAAUUAUGAAAAUUACUUAAGAUAUCCAAUAAUUUUGUUUUCAUAACUAGUUUACAAUCAAUACUCGGUAUAGCGCUAUUCAAAAUAAAGACAAGAUAGUGUGCAGCAGCUCUUUAUUUUUAAAUUAUUAAAAAUGUAUUUAUAAAUAUUUAACAUAAUAUCCAUUGAUAUAUUUAAAAUCUUCAUAUAAACAAAUAUGCAUAAAAUUAUUAAAAAAUUUGUAUUAUGAUUGUCUGUAUUAUAAAAUUAAUUUGUAUCAGAUUUUUAAUAUGCAGCUUUAUAAGAAAUAAUAUGCAAAUACAUAAAGUUCCGGGCGCUAGUUAUAAAUAAUUUAUUAAAUUUUCCAUGAAUUGAUAAAUAUGGGUUAUUCAUGGGCUUAAAUGUACAAUAUAAUAGCAAAAUUGUUUUUAUCAUUAUCUUAAAUUGUAUUUUGUACGCAGUUUUAAUCAACCACAUUUAGAUGAAUUUUUAAGUUCAUUUUAUCAACAUCCGAUGCCGGGAUCUGCAACCAAUGGUGAAUUUGGAACCACAACUGACAUUCCUCGGCAACGCACUAAAAACAAACGAAAAAAAUAGUUAUUAAUAUGCAUUUUUAUUGAACGUGCACUAUUAGAUAUAUACGUUUUUCAUUUUCGAAAGAAAAAAAAUUCAAAUUAAGUAACUUAUUUAGACUAAUAAUAUUUUGUUUGUACUUUUAUUUUGCGAUUCAGAAAACUUAAAACUUAAACUUGUAAUACUGAAAUACAUUGGCGAUAAUACUGUAUUCAUUAUCAUUAUCAUUUUCAUCAUUAUUUUUAUGUACAUCUUAACAAAAAUCGCCCCUUGAAACAAGUGAUAUAUAUUUUUAAUACUUAUGAUUAGAAUUUUAUUAAUUUACAACAUUUUAUAACAUUAACAUCCGUUUUACUAUGCAGUUACAUGCUGUUUAGUUCUUCAAAUUAACCUAAUAACAACACUUAGGUGUUUUUAUUUAUUUCACUUCUCAUGAACUUAUAUUUUAUUAUUUUCAAUCUAUAAGUAAAAAAUAAUAAUGAGAAUACUGAAAUAUAAUUUUAUUUGAACUUAAAUUUGUUUUAAUUAUGUUUUAGCAUACCCACUGAAUGAAUUGUCUGAAUAACAUUACAAAGUACUGUAAUGUUGAUUGUGUAAACUUAAUAAGGUAAUAAACAACAAUGUCUAAAAAAAAAAAUAAUGCAG